UCAGGUGUGGUGUAGUGGGAACACAGCCUCCCACUCUGGUGAUAUUUAAAGCAAAUUAAGAGGCAGUCUAGGGUUCGAAUCCCUGCAUCUGGA